rnacentral:rRNA from 1 species
AGCGAACGCUGGCGGCAGGCCUAACACAUGCAAGUCGAACGAACCUUUCGGGGUUAGUGGCGGACGGGUGAGUAACACGUGGGAACGUGCCUUUAGGUUCGGAAUAACUCAGGGAAACUUGUGCUAAUACCGAAUGUGCCCUUCGGGGGAAAGAUUAAUCGCCUUUAGAGCGGCCCGCGUCUGAUUAGCUAGUUGGUUGAGGUAAUGGCUCACCAAGGCGACGAUCAGUAGCUGGUCUGAGAGGAUGAUCAGCCACAUUGGGACUGAGACACGGCCCAAACUCCUACGGGAGGCAGCAGUGGGGAAUCUUGCGCGAUGGGCGAAAGCCUGACGCAGCCAUGCCGCGUGAAUGAUGAAGGUCGUAGGAUUGUAAAAUUCUUUCACCGGGGACGAUAAUGACGGUACCCGGAGAAGAAGCCCCGGCUAACUUCGUG